UUUACAUAUAUAAUACCUCGAACAUUUAUUUCAAUUCGAAUUUGAAUUUUGUCAAAUAAUUUUUUUCCUUACUUUCUUUCCUUCUAAUCUUUAUACUUUACCGAGGUCAGUCUACUGACUGAAUAAAUUUACUUUCUCCGUCUCUCUCUUUCCGUUGAUCGAUGACGAACGUUGUCCGAGCUGCUUCGAAUCGCCCACCGUGUGGCAACAACAACGCUAUCAUUGUUAUCGAGAAAUGCGUACGAGAGUUGCGUAUACGCGGUCAUGGUAUGAAUUUCUGAACGUUCGACGGCCGUCGACCGACCGACCGACCGACCGACCAACCAACCAACCAACCAACCAACCAAUGAACCAACUAACCGAUCGACCGACCGACCGACCGACCGACCGAUCGACCGCUUUAAAUCGUUACUCAAAGUAGAGUUGAGUCAAGUUAAGUCGAAUCCGUAGUAGAGAGUCAGUUUCUCUCUUAUGAAGCGAGAACGUUAAACCCUAGACUCUCGCUUUUAAAUCAACCAACAAACUCGACGCGUUUCCUCUGCUCGACACAGUCGACUCUUUGUCGCGAUCUUUUCUUUUCUUUUUUUUCUUUCUUCUUUUUUCUCUCUUUCUCUUUCUUUCUCUCUCUCUUUCUCUCUCUCACUCAUUUCCUUUCUUUUCGUUUAUUUUCAUUUCCUUUCGUUUCAUUACAUUUCAUGUUUCCUUUCUCCAUUCUUCGCUUCUUCUUGAAUUUUUAUAAAAAUUUACAAGCGCAACUUGUAUCCGAUUAUGAUCCAUACAACAAAUGUAUCUCCAUUAUCGAUUACGAUUACGAUUACGAUUAGGAUUAAAUCGAGUUUAUAAACAAAUUCGAUAAAUAUUAUUGUGCCUGACAAUAUAUAUAUGUGUAAUAACGAUUAACGAUAUUGUACGAUGUAAUUUUUGUAACUUUUCUUUUUUUCUUUUUUCUUUUUUUUUUUCUUUUUUUUUUUUUGGGAUAAUAUUAAUCGAGUUUUUAUACGUUGUGCACGUUACUCGACAUUCCUUAGAAUACUGUAAUAAUAAAUAUCUUAUAUAGCAAAAUAUUUUUUAUUUUCGUUAGAAUAACUUCUCUAAAACAGAAUAUAUAUAUAUAUAUAUAUUUUUUUUUUUUCUAAAAAGAAAAAAUUAAAAUACUACAUUUCGUCAAACUUUUGCAUUAUAUUCGUCAAAAAUUAUGAUCACAUUGCAAUAAUUAUGAACACUGCAAUAAUUAUGAUCAAAUUGAUUGUAAUUUUCUUCGAUUAAGUCGAAUUUUUAAAGAAAUUUCAAUGGAUAUCAAAUAGGACGCGUAACACGUCAAAUUAUAAUUGACAACGCAAUAGGUUUUAUUUUUUUCUUCGACGAUCUAAUACAAAAGAAAAAAAGGAAAAGAGAAAACUUUAAAGAGACAUACAUAUUUAUAUAAAGUAACAACGUAAACGUAACAAUGACUCUACAUUUCACGUUUAUUCACAAAAAUAAAGAACACGUUGUAAUGAUCAUUCGUAAUUGUUCUUUCAAUAGUUGAAUAUAUGAAAUAUCUGAACGUUUUGAAUCUAAGAGAGGGGGAAAGAAAAAGGAAGAAGAAAAAAGAAAAAGAGAAAGAAAAAUAAAACAAGAAAAGUAUCGAAAAGUCUGAAGAUUAUUGAACGAAACAAUAGCGACAAGAUUUGUCGCCAUUUGUGUUAUAUUUCAUUUAUAAAAAAAAAAAAAAGUAAAAAAAAAAAACAAAACGAAACAAAAAAAGAAAAGAAAAACUUACACAUCUAUACGUUGCAAUAAUUUUUCUCUCAUUCGCUUAUUAAUCCUUUAUAGUAGCUUACAACUUUUUUCAAAAAAAAAAAAAAAAAAAAAAAAAAAAAGAAAAAAGAAAAAAAAAAGAAAAAAAAAAUCACAAAUAUCCGACUUUUGAGGUAUUUAUUAAAAUCAACAUAUUUAAAAAAAAAAAAAAAAAAAAAAAAAAUCAAAUCUAUACUCACAAGUUUUUCUCAUUUUAUUUUAUCGCCAGAUGUAUGAUGUAGUUUUAAUAUGAGAGAAACGAAAAAUAAAUAUGAAAAUAAAAAGGAAAAAAAAUGCGUUAUUACAUGUGUGUGUGUUUGAGUCAUAUUAAAAAUAAAAAUCAUAUAUAUGUAUAUAAAUAUAUAUAUCGACUCAAAGUAUUAGAUUUUUUUGAAAGAGAAAACCAAGAAAAUUAUUUUGCGAAUUCAAUUGAAAUUUCGCAUUAGCGCGUACAAAAAAAAAUUGCUUUCAACGUUACCGGACGAUUCAAAUCUUCCUCUUUCUCUUCUAUUUCUUUCUUUUUUUCUUUUUUUUUUUUUUUUAUAGUUCAAUAUCCUCCAUAAAAUAGCACGUAAGAUAAUAAACAUUGUAAGAUCGAGAUAGGCGGUAUAUAGGGAGGUGGAGAAGAGGUAGAGAGAUAGAUAAAGAGAGUGAGAGAGAGAGAGAGAGAGAGAGAGAGAGAGAGAGAGAGAGAGAGAGAGAGAGAGAGAGAGAGAGAGAGAGAGAGAGAGAGAGAGA